rnacentral:rRNA from 1 species
CCUACGGGUGGCAGCAGUGGGGAAUAUUGGACAAUGGGCGAAAGCCUGAUCCAGCCAUGCCGCGUGUGUGAAGAAGGCCUUCGGGUUGUAAAGCACUUUCAGUGGGGAAGAAAGCCUUGGGGCUAAUACCCUCGAGGAAGGACAUCACCCACAGAAGAAGCACCGGCUAACUCCGUGCCAGCAGCCGCGGUAAUACGGAGGGUGCGAGCGUUAAUCGGAAUUACUGGGCGUAAAGCGCGCGUAGGCGGUCUGAUAAGCCGGUUGUGAAAGCCCCGGGCUCAACCUGGGAACGGCAUCCGGAACUGUCAGGCUAGAGUGCAGGAGAGGAAGGUAGAAUUCCCGGUGUAGCGGUGAAAUGCGUAGAGAUCGGGAGGAAUACCAGUGGCGAAGGCGGCCUUCUGGACUGACCCUGACGCUGAGGUGCGAAAGCGUGGGUAGCAAACAGGAUUAGAUACCCGAGUAGUC